AUGAAAAAGCAAAAGAAUAAAGCAACAACAGCAUGCAGUGGCUAGCUUCGGCACUUCUCUCCUCAGUUCGACAGUGAUGUGGAUCACAAACUGGCUGAACAUCUGGACCUGGAGAGCAGUGCUCAGAGGUGCAAAGUCUAACUGGAGCAUCGACACUGCCUGUCAGCUAGAAGAUGCUAUGACAACAAAAAGGCUACUUCAGAUCGGGCAGGCACCAGCAUGCAGCCAGUACCUCACCCAUCCAUCCGGGAGUAACUCGGGCUGCAAAGGACCCUGGGAGGUCACCCAGUCCGACUCUCCAUGAGAAGCAGAGGAAACAAGGCCCAUCACCACCACUUAGAGGCUUUGCAAAAAGAAGCAGGUUCCUGGAAAAAUCUAUAGGAUGCAAUCAACUAUGAAUAGAACAAACUACCUCCAGAAGACAUACUUUUUCACAUGAAU